GGCUCAGGAUGAACGCUAGCUACAGGCUUAACACAUGCAAGUCGAGGGGCAGCAUGGUCUUAGCUUGCUAAGGCCGAUGGCGACCGGCGCACGGGUGAGUAACACGUAUCCAACCUGCCGUCUACUCUUGGACAGCCUUCUGAAAGGAAGAUUAAUACAAGAUGGCAUCAUGAGUCCGCAUGUUCACAUGAUUAAAGGUAUUCCGGUAGACGAUGGGGAUGCGUUCCAUUAGAUAGUAGGCGGGGUAACGGCCCACCUAGUCUUCGAUGGAUAGGGGUUCUGAGAGGAAGGUCCCCCACAUUGGAACUGAGACACGGUCCAAACUCCUACGGGAGGCAGCAGUGAGGAAUAUUGGUCAAUGGGCGAGAGCCUAAACCAGCCAAGUAGCGUGAAGGAUGACUGCCCUAUGGGUUGUAAACUUCUUUUAUAAAGGAAUAAAGUCGGGUAUGCAUACCCGUUUGCAUGUACUUUAUGAAUAAGGAUCGGCUAACUCCGUGCCAGCAGCCGCGGUAAUACGGAGGAUCCGAGCGUUAUCCGGAUUUAUUGGGUUUAAAGGGAGCGUAGAUGGAUGUUUAAGUCAGUUGUGAAAGUUUGCGGCUCAACCGUAAAAUUGCAGUUGAUACUGGAUAUCUUGAGUGCAGUGAGGGCAGGCGGAAUUCGUGGUGUAGCGGUGAAAUGCUUAGAUAUCACGAAGAACUCCGAUUGCGAAGGCAGCCUGCUAAGCUGCAACUGACAUUGAGGCUCGAAAGUGUGGGUAUCAAACAGGAUUAGAUACCCUGGUAGUCCACACGGUAAACGAUGAAUACUCGCUGUUUGCGAUAUACAGCAAGCGGCCAAGCGAAAGCGUUAAGUAUUCCACCUGGGGAGUACGCCGGCAACGGCGAAACUCAAAGGAAUUGACGGGGGUCCGCACAAGCGGAGGAACAUGUGGUUUAAUUCGAUGAUACGCGAGGAACCUUACCCGGGCUUAAAUUGCAGAUGAAUUACGGUGAAAGCCGUAAGCCGCAAGGCAUCUGUGAAGGUGCUGCAUGGUUGUCGUCAGCUCGUGCCGUGAGGUGUCGGCUUAAGUGCCAUAACGAGCGCAACCCUUGUUGUCAGUUACUAACAGGUUCCGCUGAGGACUCUGACAAGACUGCCAUCGUAAGAUGUGAGGAAGGUGGGGAUGACGUCAAAUCAGCACGGCCCUUACGUCCGGGGCUACACACGUGUUACAAUGGGGGGUACAGAGGGCCGCUACCACGCGAGUGGAUGCCAAUCCCAAAAACCUCUCUCAGUUCGGACUGGAGUCUACAACCCGACUCCACGAAGCUGGAUUCGCUAGUAAUCGCGCAUCAGCCACGGCGCGGUGAAUACGUUCCCGGGCCUUGUACACACCGCCCGUCAAGCCAUGGGAGCCGGGGGUACCUGAAGUGCGUAACCGCGAGGAGCGCCCUAGGGUAAAACUGGU
rnacentral:rRNA from 1 species